rnacentral:lncRNA from 1 species
UCCUCUGUUUGUUUCUUCAUUUUCUACUGGAAUUCGAAUUAUGGGAUGAUGGACCAUUAUAACCAGUAGUAGUCUUGGUGUUUUCUCUGGACUGUGACCUUUUCUUAGGUCUCUGGUUUUUGCAGGAGGCCUUUUAAGCUCUUUUCCAAUGAAAAAUUUAGAGAGAGACAGAGAGGUGAUUAGAAGGCCUUUUAAGCUCUUUCCCAAUGAAACAUUUAGAGAGACAGGAAGAGAGGUGAUUUGGCUGAGCGGAAAUGGGACGUUCUCUUAAGAGGAAGGCGUAAACUGGGGAGAGAAGAGAAUUGUAUACUCUGAAAAGAGAGGAUCUAGGGCAAUGGAUUACAGGAAGAGGGUGGAGAGAGAAGGUGAUACAAAUCUGAUGAAACAACUUUGGACCUAGAAAGAAGUUAGAGAGAGAAAGAAAGGGCAAAAAAAAGAGCGAUUAGGAAAAGGACAAAGGAUACCAGGGCUCCCUAUCCCUGAGUUUAUUUUGUCAGGUACCAUUAAGAAUCCACACCGUCCAUAUAGAUGAAAGGUGCCAG